AACGCUGGCGGCAGGCCUAACACAUGCAAGUCGAGCGGUAACAGGCCCUUCGGGGCGCUGACGAGCGGCGGACGGGUGAGUACUGCAUAGGAAUCUACCCGGUAGUGGGGGAUAACCUGGGGAAACUCAGGCUAAUACCGCAUACGUCCUACGGGAGAAAGCAGGGGCCUUUUGGCCUUGCGCUAUCGGAUGAGCCUAUGCCGGAUUAGCUGGUUGGUGAGGUAAUGGCUCACCAAGGCGACGAUCCGUAGCUGGUCUGAGAGGAUGAUCAGCCACAUCGGGACUGAGACACGGCCCGAACUCCUACGGGAGGCAGCAGUGGGGAAUAUUGGACAAUGGGGGCAACCCUGAUCCAGCCAUGCCGCGUGUGUGAAGAAGGCCUUCGGGUUGUAAAGCACUUUCAGCGAGGAAGAACGCCUGGCGGUUAAUACCCGCCAGGAAAGACAUCACUCGCAGAAGAAGCACCGGCUAACUCCGUGCCAGCAGCCGCGGUAAUACGGAGGGUGCGAGCGUUAAUCGGAAUUACUGGGCGUAAAGCGCGCGUAGGCGGCGUGAUAAGCCGGUUGUGAAAGCCCUGGGCUCAACCUGGGAACUGCAUCC
rnacentral:rRNA from 2 species